AUGUUGAGUUUCGCGGCGGCUUCGUCGUCGUGGAACUUGUUGCGGCUUGGUUAUGGUCAGGAACGGAGCCACCGACGGUCUUGUGCAGGGCUGGCCUUAAGUUUCGGUGUUUAUGGCAUAAAGGAUCUUAGUCCUUCUUUUCAAAUCGAAGCUCUUUUAGUUAUGCUUUUUCCAAUCUUUAUUUCUAAUCUGGUUUGUUUGUGA